rnacentral:rRNA from 1 species
AACGAACGCUGGCGGCAUGCCUAACACAUGCAAGUCGAACGAGACCUUCGGGUCUAGUGGCGCACGGGUGCGUAACGCGUGGGAACCUGCCCUUAGGUUCGGAAUAACUCCCCGAAAGGGGUGCUAAUACCGGAUAAUGUCUUCGGACCAAAGAUUUAUCGCCUUUGGAUGGGCCCGCGUUGGAUUAGCUCGUUGGUAGGGUAAAAGCCUACCAAGGCGACGAUCCAUAGCUGGUCUGAGAGGAUGAUCAGCCACACUGGGACUGAGACACGGCCCAGACUCCUACGGGAGGCAGCAGUGGGGAAUAUUGGACAAUGGGCGAAAGCCUGAUCCAGCAAUGCCGCGUGAGUGAUGAAGGCCUUAGGGUUGUAAGGCUCUUUUACCCGGGAUGAUAAUGACAGUACCGGGAGAAUAAGCUCCGGCUAACUCCGUG